rnacentral:rRNA from 1 species
ACGUCGACACCUACGGGAGGCAGCAGUGGGGAAUAUUGCACAAUGGGGGAAACCCUGAUGCAGCGACGCCGCGUGAGUGAAGAAGUAAUUCGUUAUGUAAAGCUCUAUCAGCAGGGAAGAAAGUGACGGUACCUGAGUAAGAAGCCCCGGCUAACUACGUGCUAGCAGCCGCGGUAAUCUGAGCGGGCUGGCAAGGC